rnacentral:rRNA from 1 species
GACGAACGCUGGCGGCGUGCCUAAUACAUGCAAGUCGAGCGCAGGAAACUGACGGAACUCUUCGGAGGGAAGGCAGUGGAAUGAGCGGCGGACGGGUGAGUAACACGUAAGGAACCUGCCUCAAGGAUUGGGAUAACUCCGAGAAAUCGGAGCUAAUACCGGAUAGUUCAUCGGACCGCAUGGUCCGUUGAUGAAAGGCGCUUCGGCGUCACCUUGAGAUGGCCUUGCGGUGCAUUAGCUAGUUGGUGGGGUAACGGCCUACCAAGGCGACGAUGCAUAGCCGACCUGAGGGGGUGAUCGGCCACACUGGGACUGAGACACGGCCCAGACUCCUACGGGAGGCAGCAGUAGGGAAUCUUCCACAAUGGACGAAAGUCUGAUGGAGCAACGCCGCGUGAGUGAUGAAGGUUUUCGGAUCGUAAAACUCUGUUGUAAGGGAAGAACACGUACGAGAGGGAAUGCUCGUACCUUGACGGUACCUUACGAGAAAGCCACGGCUAACUACGUGCCAGCAGCCGCGGUAAUAC